rnacentral:rRNA from 1 species
GCAUAUCUUCGAGGUGACCUAAUAUAAUCCUAUUGCUUGUUUGGGG